rnacentral:ncRNA from 1 species
GGCAGAGUAGAAGGUUAUACGUAAAGUGUCAGCUAGACGGGAAGUUGCUAGCUGAACGAAAAGUCUUAAAUGACUUGCGAUUUAAUCUUCGCAUUCCGCUGCC